UACGUAGGGAGCAAGCGUUGUCCGGAAUUACUGGGUGUAAAGGGAGUGUAGGCGGGACGGCAAGUCAGAUGUGAAAUCUAUGGGCUCAACCCAUAGCGUGCAUUUGAAACUGUUGUUCUUGAGUGAAGUAGAGGUAGACGGAAUUCCUAGUGUAGCGGUGAAAUGCGUAGAUAUUAGGAGGAACAUCAGUGGCGAAGGCGGUCUACUGGGCUUUUACUGACGCUGAGGCUCGAAAGCGUGGGGAGCAAACAGGAUUAGAUACC
rnacentral:rRNA from 1 species